CAAAAUGACUCUCAACAACGGAAAUCUCGGCUCUUGCAUCGAUGAAGAACGUAGCGAAAUGCGAUACGAGGUGUGAAUUGCAGAAUCCCGUGAACCAUCGAGUUUUUGAACGCAAGUUGCGCCCAAAGCCUUUUGGUUGAGGGCACGUCUGCCUGUG
rnacentral:rRNA from 1 species